AUGCUUGAUAUAGUGUUGCCUUAUAGACUUGUCUUUGAACAUGCAACAGAAAAAGAAAAGCAAUAUGAGUGGCCACCUAGUUCAGAAAAAUGGGCUUUCACUGUAGAUGUUAUAGAGAGACUUAGUUUGUUCUAUGAAAUAACCAAGCUAUUUUCUGGAUCUGAUUAUGCGACUGCCAAUCUAUACUUCCCUAAGAUAUGUGAAAUUACAAUGAAAAUGAGGCAGUGGGAAGCAUCUAGCAAAUACACUAUCAAAGAAAUGACAAAAAGCAUCAAGGAAAAUUUUGAUAAGUAUUGGAGCGACAUCCAAGGUCUAAUGGUUAUAGCUACACUUCUUGAUCCUCGAUUCAAGAAGAAAAUGUUGGUAGCUUGCUUUGCCAUGCACCAUGGCAUUGAGCUAUCUUCCUAUAUGUGA
rnacentral:rRNA from 1 species